rnacentral:lncRNA from 1 species
GAAACCAAUGCAGUGCUCCUAAGGUGCAGAGGGGGGAUUGGGAGAGCCACAGGCGGAGGGAUCGUGAUGACAAGAAGAAGUGGCGUCUUUAACAUUGUCAGGAGCGAUGGGGAUGGGAGGAAUCCUAUGGACGGGCCGGGUGUGUGCCGGAUGGGGGUCGACAAUGGAGAUGCUUGCCAGGAAGAGGUGUGCAUGGGCUCAACGAUUAGAACAAUUAGUAGGGGAAUUAACGAACAUGGGGAGAGCAGGGAGAAGGAGAAGAAAACGACGGCCCUCGCGCAGAGGCUUUUUUCAUACCAAGCGAC